AGCUUUAUUUGAUGGCAAUAUCGUAAAUACUGAGGAUUAACUGAGGUGUGAGUAUUGCUAGUUGGAAACUUUUCCCAAUCCCCCGCCCCCGCCUGGACGUCGUUGCUACAAUGGAUUUCGUUUCAAUAUAUAUAUAUAUAUAUAUAUA